rnacentral:rRNA from 1 species
GAUGAACGCUGGCGGCGUGCAUAACACAUUCAAGUCGAACGGUGAAGUACCUUCGGGUACGGAUCAGUGGCGGACGGGUGAGUAACGCGUGAAUAACCUGCCUGUAUGUGGGGGAUAACAACCGGAAACAGUUGCUAAUACCGCAUAACGCAUAAAGAUCGCAUGGUUUUUAUGCCAAAGAUUUAUCGCUGAAAGAUGGCCUCGCGUCUGAUUAGCUAGUUGGUGAGGUAACGGCCCACCAAGGCGACGAUCAGUAGCCGGACUGAGAGGUUGACCGGCCACAUUGGGACUGAGAUACGGCCCAGACUCCUACGGGAGGCAGCAGUGGGGAAUAUUGGGCAAUGGGCGAAAGCCUGACCCAGCAACGCCGCGUGAAGGAAGAAGGUUUUCGGAUUGUAAACCUCUGUCCUCAAGGACGAAGGAAGUGACGGUACUUGAGGAGGAAGCCCCCGGCUAACUACGUG